GACGAACGCUGGCGGCGUGCUUAACACAUGCAAGUCGAACGGAAAGACCCUGCUUUUGUGGGGUGCUCGAGUGGCGAACGGGUGAGUAACACGGGAGUAACCUGCCCUUGACUUUGGGAUAACUUCAGGAAACUGGGGCUAAUACCGGAUAGGAGCUCCUGCUGCAUGGUGGGGGUUGGAAAGUUUCGGCGGUUGGGGAUGGACUCGCGGCUUAUCAGCUUGUUGGUGAGGUAGUGGCUUACCAAGGCUUUGACGGGUAGCCGGCCUGAGAGGGUGACCGGCAACAUUGGGACUGAGAUACGGCCGAGACUCCUACGGGAGGCAGCAGUGGGGAAUAUUGCACAAUGGGCGGAAGCCUGAUGCAGCAACGCCGCGUGCGGGAUGACGGCCUUCGGGUUGUAAACCGUCUUCGCCUGUGACGAAGCGUGAGUGACGGUAAUGGGUAAAGAAGCACCGGCUAACUACGUG
rnacentral:rRNA from 1 species